CUAAACAGGAGGAGGGUUCUUCUCACAUAACCAGCCACUCUCUCAAACAAACAAACAAAAGCCAUGGCAUCUACACCAGACCUAACCCCAUCCUCUGCCGAACCCAACAAACAAAUCCCCAUUAAAACUGCAGCUCGUAAACUCCCUGUUAAACGCAAAACAGCAGAUGGAGAUAAUAACAACAACCCUGAUCUUAGCCCUAUGCAAGACCCUAACCCUAACCUUGCCAUUACCCUUCAUGAAAACAAAUCUUCUCCUUCCCCACUUAAGUUCCAUCGAAUAUGGUCUGAUUCGGAUGAAAUUCAAUUGUUACAAGGUCUUAUUGAUUCCACAAAGAUGGGUUUGAUUUUUCCUCGUGAUCUUGGGCUCCUUCAAUUCUCUAAAGGAUCCAUGUCUAAAUCUUAUACCAAAAAUCAACUCUAUGAGAAACAUCGUCGAUUACGUGAGAAAUUUCGUGUUAUUUCUGAAAGAAUCACUCGGGGUCUUGAUUUUUCACUUCUCAAUUCUCAUGAUCAAUCAUUAUUUACUCUCUCGAAACAGCUCUGGGAUACUUCUUCUUCUUCGUCACCUCUGGUGCCCAGUAAUACUAAAAAGAUCAAACUUGAAUCUGGGGUUAAGGUUACCGCUUCUGCAAUUCUUUCUCCUUCUCCCCAGAAUGAGAAUAUAGCUGCGAAAGCUGAAGAUGGCGGCGAUGAUGAUGAUGGUAUUGAGACCAAUAGUGAUGACAACAAUUUGGAAUCUGGGCAUGAAGAAAAAUUGAAUGUGCCGAGUGUUGUUGAGUCUGAACUUGGAAAAAUGGUUACUAAGACAGUUUUGGAUGUUUUUGAUAGAUCACUAGAGGAGGUUAGAAUGGGUCUAGUUGGUCGUGGUUUAGUAGACCCAGAACCGAAUUCAAGUACCAAUACUACUGAUGAUAAAGCUAGUGCUGGUUCAUCCAGACAGGAGAGAGCUGCUGCGUUGAUGAUUAGAUGCCAAGAACAACGUGUUGCAGAAUUUGAUGUGUUAGCUCGCAGACUGAGGCAAAUAGAUGCUGAUCCUGCUUCUAGGACUGUUAUUUUUUGCUCCUUUUUGGGAUUCUAGCACACAUUCUUUAACUUUUGUGAAAGCUUCUCCUUCUCCCAUUUGGGGAUUUACAUUGUUGUUGAGAUGACUUGCGGAAGGCAAAGUAGUUGAUGACGAGACUACAGAGAAAUCAGAUCGAAGGAGUAACAACAACUUCAUAAGCAAAUUGGAUCAAACAUGGAAGGAAGAGCAAUCAGAUUUCGGAUGACGUGGUGUGUAAGUGGUUGCCAUGGCGACCCAUCUUCAUCGUCUCUUUCUUUCUUAACAAUGCUGCUUCGAAAAACUUCUUUAUACCCUUUACAGAAGAACCUUCCAGACCUUCAUCUUCUCUGAUGGCAUUCUUAAUCAUCUCCCUAACUUUAAAAGCUUUCUUUCUCAUCUCAAGGUCUUUCUUAUUCAUUACUAAAUCUAGUAGUCGCACCACAUCUUCAUGUUUAACUUCAUUUCUGUUCCCUUUAGCCAAUUCAACACAAACCCCAAUUUCUUCUUCCAACAACCUUGAAUUACUAGGUUGAUCAGCUGAAAGUGGCCAUCCGACUAUUGGAACCCCAAAACACACUUUCUAAAACGGAGUUCCGUCCGCAAUGACUAAGAAACACUGAUGUAGAUUUGUGUGAUGGAGAUCCCGUCCGCAAUGACUAAGAAACACUGAUGUAGAUUUGUGUGAUGGAGAUCCCGUCCGCAAUGACUAAUCCAACUGGGGUGCGCACUUUCUCACUAGUAAUCCUUUGUUUUUCUCCUUCAUCCUUUCUUCGAAUCCUUCGGGUAACCAUUCUGAUCUAAAUUCUUCAUUUAUAUCAAAACCUAAGGGUGGUCUAAUAACCCAGAUGAAAUUCUUGUCACUCUUUUCUAAUCCAAUUGCUAAUAUUCCAUUAUUUGUGAUUUAGAAAUUGUAUCUUGAG